CAGCAGCCGCGGGAACACGGAGGGGGCUAGCGUUGUUCGGAAUUACUGGGCGUAAAGCGCACGUAGGCGGCUUGAUAAGUUAGAGGUGAAAGCCCGGGGCUCAACCCCGGAACUGCCUUUGAAACUAGCUGACUGGAAUCUUGGAGAGGUCAGUGGAAUUCCGAGUGUAGGGGUGAAAUUCGUAGAUAUUCGGAAGAACACCAGUGGCGAAGGCGACUGACUGGACAAGUAUUGACGCUGAGGUGCGAAAGCGUGGGGAGCAAACAGGAUUAGAUACCCCUGUAGUCCCUGUCUCUUAUAC
rnacentral:rRNA from 1 species